UACGUAGGGUGCGAGCGUUGCCCGGAUUUAUUGGGCGUAAAGGGCGCGUAGGCGGCUCUGCACGUCCGUUGUGAAAUCGCCCGGCUCAACUGGGCGGGGUCAGCGGAUACGGCGGAGCUUGAGCAAGCUAGGGGGCAAUGGAAUUCCCGGUGUAGUGGUGAAAUGCGCAGAUAUCAGGAGGAACACCGGUGGCGAAGGCGGAUCUCUGGGCCAUUACUGACGCUGAGGAGCGAAAGCGUGGGGAGCGAACAGG
rnacentral:rRNA from 1 species